UUUAUUAUGUUUGAUGUGUUAUACAAAAGCUUGUGAAUCAUUUCUAUAAUAUCUACAUUACAUGGCAAUGGAAGUCUUGCCUCCAAUUGGUUCUGUGCAGUUGGACUUGCUUUUCUCCCAGGGAAGCUGAUUUCUAAGCAUUCCUGCCUCCCUUUCCCAGAUUUGAUGCACUUUUUGAUCAUCCUCAUCCUACUUUAUGGAGAUGUUCACUGUUAUUGAUUCCUACUACUACAUCCUAUCUUAGUUGAGGGUUGUUUCCUGCUUCUCUACUGAUCAACCUGUAUCACCUCUUGAUCAACCUGUAAAUUAAACCUCCUUCUUACUGGUUCUGAAACUGAAUUUUCCUGACAGACAACAUAUAUUGUCAUUUAGAUGCGGAUGUUACAACCAUGUCUUAGCAAUUUAAAAUCGUACUACAUCUUAAUUUGACAUUGCAUAUUAAUCAAAAAGAAAAAAAACUAAUGCUACGACGCAUCAAAUUUGCAUCUGGCACGAUGUCAUAUGAUCAAUUCAUGAAACUUUGUAAAGAUCACAAACUUACCUCCUCUAUACAUCUAAACAGCAGAUACAAAAUUAUAUCACAAAGAUUGAACCAGGUGGUUCAUAGUUGUAUGCUCGUGUUCAUCGGAAUGAUAGUAUAGAAACUCUCGAAGCAACCUAGGAAUAGAAUCCUAUAAACUCUCGACGCAGCUAAAAGGAAAAAGUCUCCAUGAAAUCAACCAAAACCAUUAACUGCUAAAUUUCUGCAGGCUAUAACCAAAAACUAUCUAGCAUGCAUAUUAUGCUUUGGCUGCAAAAUCUGUAACCUUAUUGAGCACUUGAUCAAACCCAUAAAAAAGCAGCAGCCAAUUAAAAAGUAAAUGCUGAACAUAUCACCAAUGAGAUGAACAAGAGAUGGACUGCCAAAAAUAGCACAAGUCAAAUCAAAUAUAGUCAUAAUACUUACAUGGAUAAGAAUUUAAAUUCUAUCAAAUUAAAUCACAAACACUAAGAUCAGUCUAUGGUCGGCUCCAAAUAGAUCUAUGCUAAAAUCCUUAAAACUUGUAGCAUCUGUAGUUGUCGAGUUCAUUUUCUUAGACCCGUCUAUCAGACGGGGAGCCAGGUUAUAGGUUGUUUAUUGCAAAGUGAAUAGGAUCUAAUUUACACUCAAAGAUAUCUUCUCAAAGUCUAACUUGGGAGAUAGAGGUUUUCAAAAACAAAGAUAUUGGCUAAGUAGGUAGGCUACUAUGUUUUGGCUAACCAAGGUCUUGAUUUUUUUUUAAAGUUUUAGAUGGAAGAUGAGAAAAUUUGAAAAGAUUUUAAAUUUUUGAAAUUUCAAGGAUAUCAAACUUUCAGCUGAUUAAAAAAAACCCAAAAAAAUAUGGACAUUAAUUGAUUUAUAUUAUUCAAGGUAAUAAAGGUUGAGAUUUUCUCUGGCUCCAUAACAAACCAAGAUCUCAGACAGAAAGCCAGACGGAUGCAACAGUGAAAAGUGGCGACAUUUAUACGUUCUCUAGAUGGGAUCACAUCCGUCCAUUUUUUUUUGGAAUAUUGUGAGGACACACGUACCUGAUUGACGGCAGAUCUUUAGGAUGCCCUCGCUAUUUGUC
rnacentral:lncRNA from 1 species